rnacentral:rRNA from 1 species
GAUGAACGCUGACAGAAUGCUUAACACAUGCAAGUCAACUUGAACUUCGGUUUGGGUGGCGGACGGGUGAGUAACGCGUAAAGAACUUGCCUCACAGCUAGGGACAACAUUUGGAAACGAAUGCUAAUACCUGAUAUUAUGAUUAUAUGGCAUCGUAUAAUUAUGAAAGCUAUAUGCGCUGUGAGAGAGCUUUGCGUCCCAUUAGCUAGUUGGAGAGGUAACAGCUCACCAAGGCGAUGAUGGGUAGCCGGCCUGAGAGGGUGAUCGGCCACAAGGGGACGGAGACACGGCCCUUACUCCUACGGGAGGCAGCAGUGGGGAAUAUUGGACAAUGGACCGAGAGUCUGAUCCAGCAAUUCUGUGUGCACGAUGAAGUUUUUCGGAAUGUAAAGUGCUUUCAGUUGGGAAGAAAAAAAUGACGGUACCAACAGAAGAAGUGACGGCUAAAUACGUG